rnacentral:lncRNA from 1 species
AAGGCUAGGAUUUAAUCCAUCCAAUCCAAUUUAUUGAAAAGAAAAGAAACUAUUUGCAGACUCCUGCUUGGCAUGCAAGGAAGCGCAUUUCUUGUUCUUGCCUAUAAAGCAGCCACGCCCCUGGCCGAUUCGCACCUUCACCCGUCCUUCCCACUCUCCUCGUUAUUCCUUUAUUCCUCUCUAAUUCUCUCGAGAAUAACAUAAUGGCGAGUGCCAAAGAUGCGAGGAAUCCGGAGAGCAGGCCCACGGGUAAUCCCUACCCGAAGAGGGGCCAGAUUAAGCACAAGAUCUUCGAAGACGUUGUCUCGGCCAUCACCUCCAUGGCUGGCGGCGGUCGUCGGAGGGAAGGACAGGAGGGAGGGGAGGGCCGGAAUGGGAGCUCAGCGACGGGCCGCUCCCAAUCCGAAGAGAAAUCCUAUUCCUGAAUCCUGAUGGAUGGAUUCUAAGCCGCCCCAGCUGUUACUCUGCGCUGUUUUUUUGCAGCAGAGCAGUUGGACUUCUUCUGGAUCUCUGCAGCUGUGUUUUUUAAAUAACCUGCAGAGGCCCAGCUGUUUUUUCGUCUCACUCUUCUUCUUUUUUUUUUCUGUUUGGAAUCUCUGUCUUUGGUUUUAGAAGAACUGUAACUUAGAAGUGGCUUUCUCUGUUGCUGUUGUUUUUUCGGAAGUAGCAGAGUGAGGUUUAGGUGUGUUUGGUUUUUUCUGCAAUAACCUCUGUGAUCUCUACUUUUUACGUAGAUCUCGGAGGAGGUGUGCUUGUAAAAAAUUUACAUUUUCUUAAUGAUGCUUCUUUCUUUCUCUGACAUAAGCUUCAGCGGCUCUGUUAGAUCUUCAUCUGUUGCUUUUAAAUUAUUUCCAAGAUAUUAACUAUAUAGUAGGGAAAUAAAAGAAGCAAAUUAAGGACACAAAUGCUUGUUGGACUCUAGAACGUAUUGCUAUAUAGAAAACUUCGGUUGUGGGAUUGUUCUACUGCCUCCAUUCCUCUAAAUCUCACGCCAAAAGAUUUGUGCCAGAGAAUUAGCUCUAGGAGCUAAAUCUCAUGAGAUAGAAACAGGCAGCAGUCGCACAGGGAGCUCCUGGAGACGAGACUGUGAAAACAUGAGUAGGAGACUGAUUCCAAAUGCUUGAAACCUGCGAGCCGUGAUCUAAUUCUAGACUUGGUUUGGCCAACAGGUUUAGCACUAAUACCGGGCGGCUCUUCCUCUCCCUUAUCAUUAAAAAAACCCAAUAAUAUUAGCAGUAAGAUGAAGAAACUGACAAUUUUGUCAGACAAUCCUAAUUUCUUAUCUCCAACAGUUACUUUAUAUUAAAAAAAAUCCAAUCAGAAAAACAGUCAAAGUUUCCAGAAACAGCGAACAACUUUGCCACUAGGUAUGAUGCUCCUCCGUGCAACUUUGCCAGCGUGGCAUUUCUGGACUUGAAAAUCUUUAUCAUUAAAAAAACAGCGAACAGCUUUAUUAAGAUAUCAAUCCAUCGACCUGGAUCUUGUGUUGGGGGUCCAAAGACAUCGUAGCAUCAAACGGGACACAUCAGGUACACUGCAUAAAUAUAUUAGCCUUGCACAGGUACUUUGUCGGAAAGAUCAACGUUUAGGCCUUUCAAAACUCUUUUUAAUUUCACAUUUUAUAACAUUGUUAAACUAGGAAGAGCAACAUCAGACCUUGCUCAUCCUUAGGCCUUUCAAAACACUUUCUGUUUUCAUAUUUUAUAACAUUGCUUAACUAGGAAGAGCUGCAUCAAACCUUGCUGAUCCAAACUUCAGGGAGCAAAGUCCGAUUUUAUUAUGAACACCAAAAAAAAAAAGCCUGAUCCACAAAAUUUCCAUCAUUAUGGAUCUAGAGAGAGUUAAAUAUACGCUGCCUUAUUUCUGCAUGAGGAAAGACUAUUUCUAAGUUUAAAAUCCCCAUAUUUGGAUACAGGAAAUAGGUGAAUUUAUUUUGGUCGAGUUAAUUUUAUAUCCAAGGCCUUAGAGUAUGGUGGAAAAUUCAAGUAAUUUGAAUUUUUAUAUUUGGAUUGGGCUACUAGAUUUUUCUUAUAAUUGUUGGAGACUAUUGGAUGUGUUAAUUUAAAUACAUGUCUAGAUUUAUAAUUUGAGCAGGGAUGUUUUGUCUUUAUUCAUAAAGCCAUUAGUAAAAGUCAUAUUGAGUAGAGAUGCUUACACAAGUUAUCACGUAAAGCACUGCCGAUAGAUAUUAAGAAUCUUGGUAAAGAAAAUUUUGGAGAUUAGUAGAGUUAAUUCUACUCAUAGUGAUAUUGGCUCAGAACUCCUAACUCAUUGAAUUUGGAAUAAUUUUUUUUGAAAGAGAGAUCGAUCUAGAUUGACUAAUCAAAUUGCUAAGGGAAUCUAGAAUUAAUUCACUUUAAAUUCAAGCUAGAUAUUUUGGAUUCUAAAAAAGAUGUGGAGAUCACGCAAUAAUCUUAAACUUGACUAAAGGCUUGAGGGUUAGUUAUUGUAAGUACACUCUACAUAAAUUGAGAGCAAAAAAAUCUAGAGGUUUUGAUCUAGUCCAUUUGAAAAUUUUGAAAAUUGGAUUUUCUUAGUAUUGAUCCAAAGUGAUACUUCGGUCGAAAAUCAUUUAGCGACCUUAGAGUAAAUGAUGAGUUAGAUUAGAGUGCGCAGCAAAAGUAUGAUGGAGUACUUUCAAAGUUUAAGCCUUAAGUAAGUUAAUUUUGAGGAUGAUUUUUUUUAGGAGGGAGAAUGUACAAACCAGUAAAAUAGCCUAGUCCUGUGGGCUUGUGGGCCGGGCCCGAACUAAUCCUGCGCUAGAGCCAGCUGUGGGCUUGUGGGCCGGCCCGAAGAGGCUUGGCCCAAGCCUAACCAUGCCAUGUGGCAUGAUUCCAAUGGAGGGGAGACUCCGACAAGAGUCUUCUUCCUCCUCCGAUUUUCGACGAAAUAGAAGUUAAUCUGGGGCAAUCUAAGUUUGACUCGAACUUUAGGAUCACGCCUAAUUAACUCCCCUCCUCCUCUAAUUUCCAUCACCAGAAUCAUCAAAAAUCGCCACCGAUUCUAAGUCUUCUUCUCCGUGUCUCCUUCUUGAUUCCUCGCUGAAAAGCUGUCGUACCACCUCAUCAGACCGGGGUAGGGGUUCCUCAUCUUCUUCCUCCUUGUUUUUUGGUUCGGUGGCCACUAUCGCCAUGGAUUUAGGCCAGCAAAUUGCCGAGAUUUCAUCCAAAAAUAAGGUGCUCUAUUUCGGCCCAUUUUCUUCCUUGUUCAUUGCCGCCGGCCACUGAGUUUGGCCGAGUUUUGCCGCUGUCCAGGACUCCUAAGAUUGGGUGGCAGCUAGUCAAUAGGCCGGCCAAGAUCUAGAUCGAGUUGUCAUGGAUCAUCCUCCACCUUUUUUGUGUUCUUCAUCUCUUCUUUCUUGUGCUAGUCGACCACUAUCGCCAGUGGUGUCAUGGCUGAAGGUUCGCCUGAGACCGUAAUUGAGGCUGGCCACUAUGGUCGUCACCCCCUCUGAUCCAAAUAGAAAAGGGAGAGGCGGGCUCUCCCCUAUUUUGAGAAGAAACAAGAGUCUUCUCUCUCUUCUUUCUCUCUCCUCUCUCUUUCUUGAUUUAUCUUUCUCUGUAUGGUUCUAUAGACCUAGCAGGAGGAUCCCAGAUAUUCUCUUUGUGGAUCUAUGUUGACCCCAGUAGAGGGUCCUGGACUAGUGUCGCUAUGACCACCUAUUGUGCUAGCUUUACCUCGACCAUCGCUGAGUACCGUUAGGCUCUAUCAUCAUGAAUCUUUAUUAUGUUACUAAAACCAUAGUUUGAUUCUCGUUUCAUAUUUUGAUUGGCUUGAUUGGCCAGAGUGGACUGACUCAGAUCUUCAGACGCUGCUACCUAGUCGAUCCUGUCCAUCCUGCACCCGACCAUUAUUAGCUACCAUUGAACACAUGAUUAAUAACCCCUGAAUUAUCGUUCUUUUUUUGAUUGGAUAUAUAUUUUUUGAUCAGAUAGAUUAAGUUACAUUGUACUAACCAAUUCGAAUAAUUGGGCAUUGUCAUGUAGCCUGCCUCGUAUAUCUUUCUAUACAAAUCUAUUUUCAUAGUCAGUCCUAAUUUUGUAUAGGCUACAAUCAUCCAGACAAGAAGAAGCCCAACAAAAUCUUAUACUCUAGUUUCUAAAUUAAGGUAAGACCCUGACAUUUUAUUUAUAUUUAAUUUUUAAUUAAACAAGAAUAAAGAAUAUGGAUAAUUCAAAUAUUAGAACUCUAAAAUUAGGUUAUUACUAAAUAAUAAAAUCAUUAAUAUGGCGAGUGAUUGAUAAGGGAUAAGGUCAUGUUCUUGUCCUUUUUGGUAGCUUCUGAUAUAAGCCCGAGCCAUUGUUUGGAGAACAGUGCAACACACGGACUCCACGAGACAUUGCCAUUGUGGCCACCCCCUAAUCUAGAAAAAAAGAAAUUCACUUGAAAGGAAAGUCUAAUCUGACUCGCAAUGUCGGCAACGACUUUGUCAAGUCAACGCUAGCUGGGAGCACUGACUUGUAUCUACUGCUUCCCAACGGCAGAACUAAAAGACGGAAGUUUAGCUUUCUCGUUCUAGUGGCAGCAGACAUGCUUUAUCACCUUUUCUUUUCCCAGUUAUAAUUGCUUUCUUGGCCGGAAACCACUUACAUUAGGUGAGAGCAGACCCACACGAAGAGGCAGUCAACAAGGGAUAUGCUCCGUGAAAGUUUUUUUUGUUUUGUUUUUGAUUGAAGACAUGUGCUUAGUGAAAGUUGUUUUCAUUAGAAUCUUGUUUCAAAUGUUUUCCAGGGUUGCUUGUGGUUUUUUCUAGGCUUAAAUUUGUCUCUCCUUGGAUCAGAUAGCAAGUAAAAUAGAACUUAACUUCGGCCUCUCAAUUUUUUUCAGCAAAAAAAAAAGCACCUUAUAGUGACUGCCACUAAAUUUUCUCCAAUUCUUCUUAAUCUGCAAACGCCCGAUCUAAAGGCUAUUUGCUUGUUGUGGUCCUACCCCCAACUUGUGAACCCAGGACCACCUCUUUUUGGAGAGUUGCCACCGUAUCUUGUUGAGAACAGUCGUCUUGCUUUCAUAAGAAACUGCAAGAUAACUUAACGAUAUUUAAUAUAAAACCUAAUCAUUCAGUUGCCGUUCUAGUCACGAUCGUUUUUUCUAAUUUGAAUUAGUUACAAUUUUUUAAGUUCAGUUAUAGCCUAGCUAAAUUCUAAGCGAAUAUUGGUAGUACUCGAAAUAUGAUGCAGUUCAUGCCGAGUCCUUUUUUGAUGUAAAUGGAGGUAGCCAGCGGCUGCCCCCAGAUUUUUUUGUUGAGAGAAGAUAUUCACAUACAGAAGAUGAAAAGAAUUUAUAAAGAAGAAGACAAAAGAAAUAAGAAAAGUACUGCAGACACUGUACUUAUCUGGGUCCAAAUUUUUUAAGUGCAAUAUCUAAGAAUGUUGAUGGAAACCUCUCAUUUGCUGAGCAAAGGGGUGUAACCACUGCUGCAAGUACCAGUUCCCAUUAGAGAAAUGUCAUGAUAAAUACAUUUGUAAUUAUUUUUCCUUCGAGGAAUAAAAAAUCCACUUGCAAGUAGGUAGUGAAGUAGUCAAACUUGAAUUAAGCCCCCAAGGAAGAUCAUAGAAGAAGAGAUGCUGCUAGUUUCAGCCUCCUAUGACCUUUCUUAAUUCAGUUUCCAACUAUUUUGCUAGAUUUAAUCCAAUAUGCCGAUGCAAUACUUGUGGAGCAGUCAUAUUUUUUGGCCUUAUUGGAUAAUCUCAGGUGUAGCUUUCAAUCUCUAAGAAAAAAAAUAUGAUGAUAUCACUUUAAUAUGCACUUCUGCAGAGUUUCACCGAUCUGCCCGUCGCAGGGUAAUUAAUAAAUAAACAAAACAUUGCACAUAAAAAGUUGAUAAGUCCCGCAAUUGCCAACUUGAGAACUCCAUAAUCAACCAACCUACUAUGUUUGACAAUAAACUUGUGAGUUUCACCGAUCUCCUCGUCGCAGGAUUGUUCAUGUGCACUUUGUGGGAGCGGCAUAGCAUUAUUUUUUAUAAAACAAUACCAAACACAAUUGACUUGAGGAGCUAUAAAAUUCCCUAUUAACUUUUAGUAAUGUGCACAUUUUGAUUGUGCAUUUAGAAAAUUAAGGAGCGCAUGUGUAGACUUACAAAUGCAUCAUCUUUCCAAUUUUUUUCUGAACAUCUCUCUCUCUCUCUCUCUCUCUCUUACACAUAUGUAUUAGAGAAGAAAAAAAGUUAAUGUAGUGCCUCUAUAUUUUUAAAAUAGAUGCCCUUUGUUUGGUGCAUCUAAUCCCUACUAUCCUAAUGUUAAAUUAAAGCAUGAGCUGUCCAUGCAUUGUUAAUUAUCAUCUUGUCACAUCUACUCUUGCUGUCUCGCAUACAAUUUAGUUUAAACGAGUAAGAAAAACUUUUCUUUGGAUUGCAUCAUGCUUUUCUUAGGCCCCCCAAAGUGCUUGCUCCUAAGGAUCCAGCUGUCAAGAGGAACAUGGACGUCAUGGGCGCUGAAAGUGGUUUGAGAUAAUGGAUAGAUGGGUAAGUUUCUAAAAUUCCAGAACCAAUCCGUUCUCCUCCUAGUUCCUGGAGUUGGGUUGGAUCCAUUGCGCCAAAGAAGGCUUCACCAUCCAUUGCUUACUUUGAGAUCUAUACAAAAGAUGAAUAAUAUGAGAUUGGAUCAUUUUGAAAUUUGUGCAGUGGAUGAUUCAAUGGUGGAUUUGCACGAAGAAAGAUGAAUUCUUUUUUACCGCAAAAGAUAACAAUCUGAGUCCAUUAGUUCUCCAAUCUGUAUGGCAGCUGAGAAUUAGAGGUGCCAUAAUACGUGAGCUUCGUGCAUGUGAACAGCCAAGAAUUUAGGUUGUAUCUUUUUUUUCAUGAUAUUGAUAUUAGGAUUGUGUCUUUAUAGACCUCAAAGUAUUUCAAACUUUUAUACCUAUCCACGUACAUAGAUUUUGAAGCAUCUAUGAUGCGAUCCGAUGGUGGAUUUAUGGAAUCCUUCUCGCACCCCAAAGAUACAGCCCCUGGCUUGCGGACACUUUAAGGCGACACAGGAUCUGAUACACAUGCUGCGGGCCACGGUGCGGAGCCUUAGGCUUGCGGAGGAGGGAAUUCUUAGGGCAUACCUGGCUUACCACAUCUGAUUGGACUGGAAUGCUCGUCUGUUUGAGGGCAGGAGGUUCUCGGCGAGGAUAGUGGUAGAGAGAGCUAUGCUUCAGGCCGAAGAGGUCUUUUCUUGUACUGCCUUGUCUUCACUUGGGAUGACUAGGGAUAUCUAGGGUACCCGCAGUGCUGUUCAGCGUGCAGGUUUGCUGUUAUUUCUUGGAUACCCCCACCUUUGGUUAUCUUAAAGUGAAUUUUGAUGGCAGUGUGGCAACGGACAGGACGUAGGAAGGGGUUGGAUUUGUUAUCCGAGACCAUUUUGGAAGUUUGGUUGCAGCGGGAGGCCGGGGCUCGACAGGUCUCAUGGUUGCUGGGGUAGAGCUGUGGGCAGCUUGGGUGGGCAUAUCCUAUGCGAGGUGGGUGCUCGGGGUCGGGCGGGUGUACCUUGAGGGGGAUUCCUCUAUAGUCAUAGAUUGGAUCCGGGGUGCUGAUAAGUAUGGAGAUGGGCAUCCGCUCAUUCGGGAGACUCGCAGAUUGGCUAUGGAGAUGGAUGAGUUUCAGAUCGUCCACAUUUUUCGGGAGGCAAACAGGAUCGUCUUCUAUGUUGCACGACACUUCGAGGAGUUUCACUGGAUAUCCAUAGUAGAGCUACUGCCACAUUUGAAUUUUUUGCUUUUUUAUGAUUUGGCAGAAUGUACUCACGUUAAAGCUAUAUGAAUUGCCGUUUUCAUUAAAAGAAGAAGAAGAAGAAGAAGUAGAAGAAAGAUACAGCCCUCGCCAAUGGCCAUGAGCAUCUUAUCCGAGGCAGCGUGGACGGUGCGGGGCGAGGAGAGCAGGGAAUAGAGCGGCGUCGUGCAUCAUCUAUGAGGUCAGGAGGAGUGACGUAGAGUGACGUACUGUUCACACGAGCUGGCAUGAGUAAGCAACCACCGACAAAGCGUCCCGUGUGGUGGGGUCCUUUGUCUUCUCAUUUCUUUCGCUUUAUCCCUUCCAGUUCACACUGCAAGCUGGCUCACUGUUUUCUUGUUAAUUAUCGCAUUCAGGGUCGCAAUUAAGACAAAGAACAACUUGCCGAGCCCUUUUUGACGCGUUUGGUCGGCAGAAAUAAUUUUUAGUCGCUGAAAUAUUUUUUUAAAAAAAGAUAAUGUUUAAAAAAUUAUUUUUUGAAAAAAUAGUAUUUUUUAUAUUUAAUUGAUCAUAAUAAAAUGGCACUUUCUAGAGUUGUAUUAUAUAUAUUUAUUAUAUUUUUAAUAAAAAAAUUAUCCAUAAAUUUUGAUGGCUUAAGAGUAUUUUUGAAAAAAAAAAUUAAUUUUCAAUCGAUGAAAAAGUAGCUUUUUUUGUCUCCAUGAAUUUUUUUCAUAAAAUAUAGAAAUCUUAUUUUUAUAGAAAUGCUAAUUUUUUUCAUUCUCUCCUUUAAACACUUCAACCAAAUAAAAUGUAUCUUUUUUUGUUUUUUCGUUGAUCAUACUUAUGUUCUUAAAACUUUUCCAUGAUCCAAAGAGUCAAUCUUUAAAAAAAUAAUUCUUUAAUAUAUUUAUAGCAACCUAUGAUCUCACUUUAAAAUAAUUAAUUAAAAGAUAUUAUUUAAAUUUUUUGAUUCCAUAAAAAUAUUUAAGAUGUGCUAAUUUUAGUACUGCUAAGGCUGCAAAUGGGUGGGAUUGACCCAUGACCCGAUCCACAGGGCUGCGUCGAGUCCUAAAAUUAGAUCCAUUCUAUUUUUCGGGUUGGGUCUGGGUUUAUCGAAUCUCAACCCGACCCAACCCAUUUUUUUUGGGUAACUUAGGAUCCUUUACCCAAUGACCCAAUCCAACCUAACCCAAACCUGAAUUACCUAUUUAGGCCCACAGGCUGCAGGCUGUAUUGCAGCUUUCUCCUUCGCCUCUACGUCUAUAAAAGCUUCCUCUUUUUCUUUCUCCCAACUCAUCCUUCAACACAUAAAAUUAGAUCUCAUCAUAUGUCUUAGGCCUCGUUUGGCAGAGCUGUUGGCAGUAGAGCUUUCGGAAAUAAAACUUUUUGAAAUAGAGCUUUUAUAAAAAGCUAUUUGCUGUUUGGCAACUAUAUUUCUAAAUUGGUGUGAGACUUUAAUAUAUGUUUGGUAAACAAACUGAGAGAGUACUUUUGGUAUGACAAAAUGAUCAUAAAGAACAUUGCAUAGUAUUAUACAAAAGACUAUAAUAAAAUAUAAUACGUAAAUACAUAAACAUAUAAUAUAGUAUAAUAUUAUUGUAAUGUAAUAUAAUAUUAUUAUAAUAUAGUAAUAUAAUAUUAUAUACUAUAGCAUAAUAAGAUAGUAUAAUUUGAUAUUUUAUAACAUAAUAUAUCAAUGUAUUAUGAUAUAAUGUAGUAUAAUAUUAUAUUUAUAGUAUAAUACAAUAAUAAAGGUAUAAAAUAUUAUAAUUAUUAUCAUUAUAUAUUAAUAUUAUCAUUUUCUGUAAUUAUUAUAUUUUACCAUGGGUAUUUUGGUCCAAAAAAAUUUAUAACUUAAAAUAGCUUUCCGAUGGAUCUAAAAGUGCUUUUUUUUGAAGAAGUUCCAAAAUGGAGCUUCUCCAAAAAAAAUUGUUUUAGUUUUUUAGCAAAGUUAAAAUAACUAUUCGAUUCUUUUACCAAACAUUCCGAUUUCAUCUAAAGGUGUUUUUGGAGGAUCAGAAAGUAUUUUUUAGCUCUCUAAAAGCUCUACCAAAUGGAGCCUCAGAGACCCAAUGUUUUAAACUCUUCCUCGAUGGCCUUCUCCCUCCAUUUCCAUAUCUUGGUCUCCAAUGAGAUGAACCCCAACUCCUAUUGGCAACAGUAAUAGGAAACGGAAUCCUACCCAAACCCCACUCCUGUCUCUCCUUUCUUCUCUCUUCCCUCGGAUCUAGAAAGCCUCCCAGCCAAAACUCUCCGCCCUGUUUCUAAUUAUUUUUUAAUUUGCUACCUCAAGAUGGGUGUGAAAGGAUUUGUUGAAGGCGGCAUCGCCUCCAUCCCCGUUGGUUGCUCCACCCACCCGCUCGACCUCAUCAAGGUCCGAAUGCAGCUCCAAGGGGAGUUGCUAAGCCUCGUGGUCUCCACCCUCCGCCCUACUCGCGCCUUCCACAUCACUGCCAUCGUCACUCUCCCACCGCCGCCGUGCCCUGACCCUCUUGUCGUCGGCGCCUAGAUCUUCCGCUUCGAGUAGGGCUGCAAAUGGGUCGGGACGACCCAUGAUCCGACCCGACCCAACCCACAUAAGACUCGACCCGACCCGAAUUUUAGGACCUGCGGGGCUGGGUCAGGUCCUAAAUUUGAACCUGUUCUAUUUUUUGGAUCGGCUCAGGUCCAUCCAAUCUCGAUCCGGACCCGGACCUAACCCGACCCUUUUUUUGGAUCGAUUUUUUUCAGAGAAUGUUGCAUUGAUGCUUGGGACAAUCUUGUUGAAUUUAGAUAAUGUUGAAUUUGAACAUGUGAAUAUAAAAAUACAUAGAUCCGGACCCAACCUGACUCGAAUGACCCGUCGGGUCAAAAUUUGUAGGCAUGAACCGGCCCGACCUGACCCAAUUUUCAACCGGGUUGGGUCUAGGGUCCAAAAUUAGGAUCCAAACAAGAAAUCAGUCAAUUUGGGGUCACUCAAGACCAGAUCUGAUCCGAUCCAUUUGUAACCCUAGUUUCGAGGAUUCCUCCACCUAGAUCCGAAGCGUGGUGGACGUGAUCGGGCAAAGGGUGAGGAGCAAGGGGUUGGGGAGCCUGUGGCGGGGGUCAGCGCAAAGUGAACUGGGCAAUGAUCGUGACAGCAUCGUAGCUGGCGAUGUACGACCAGGCAAAGGAGGCGAUCCUGGGGCAUGGGAUCAUGGACGACGGGCUGGGGACACACAUGACGGUGAGCUUUGCUGCCAGGCUGGUGGCGGCGAUGGCGUCGAACCCGGUGGACAUGGUGAAGACGAGGGUGAUAGACUCGAUCCAACCCGGACCUAAAUUUUUUAGGUCAGAUGUGGAUUAUAUAUGGACCCGAUCUGACCCGAAUGAUCCGUUAGGUCAGAAAUUAUAGUCGUGGACCCGAUCCGACUUGACCCGAUCUUCAAUUGGAUCGGAUCUGGGUCUAAAAUUAGGAUCCGAAUAAAAAACUGGAUUGGGUCGAAGUCACUCAAGAUUCGAUCCAACCCAAUCCAUUUGCACCCCUAAGUACUGCAGUCAGCAUUGGAGCAUGGUCUUACCCAUCCCAGGCUCGCGCCCCGUUUGAUACUCCGGCCUUAUCGGUUCGUUGGUGCGAUUAAAACCCGAGAAAUCUCGGUUGUGGGGUUACCAAACUGCCGGUACACUAUAUUUUUUUUUCCUUGAUGAAGGGCAGGAUUUUAUCCAUCCAAACCAAUUAUUGAAAAGAAAAGAAACUUAUGCAGACUCCUGCUUGGCAUGCAAGGAAGCGCAUUUCUUGUUUUUGCCUAUAAAGCAGCCACGCCCCUGGCCGAUUCGCACCUUCACCCGUCCUUCCCACUCUCCUCGUUAUUCCUUUAUUCCUCUCUAAUUCUCUCGAGAGUAACAUAAUGGCGAGUGCCAAAGAUCCGAGGAAUCCGGAGAGCAGGCCCACGGGUAAUCCCUACCCGAAGAGGGGCCAGAUUAAGCUCAAGAUCGCCGAAGACGUCGUCUCGGCCAUCGCCUCUAUGGCUGGCGGCAGUCGUCGGAGGGAAGGACAGGAGGAAGGGGACGGCCGGACUGGGAGCUCAGCAACUGGCCGCUCCCAAUCCGAAGAGAAAUCCUAUUCCUGAAUCCUGAUGGAUGGAUUCUAAGCCGCCCCAGCUGUUACUCUGCGCUGUUUUUUCGCAGCAGAGCAGUUGGACUUCUUCUGGAUCUCUGCAGCUGUGUUUUUUAAAUAACCUGCAGACGCCCAGCUUUUUUUUCGUCUCACUCUUUUCUUUUCUUUUUCUGUUUGGAAUCUCUGUCUGUGGUUUUUUUAGAAGUACCGUAACUUAGAAGUUAGAAGUGGCUUUCUCUGUUGUUGUUGCUUUUCCGGAAGUAUCAGGGUGAGGUUUAGAUGUGUUUGGUUUCUCUGCAAUAACCUCUGUGAUCUCUACUUUUUACGUAGUUCUCGGAGGAGGCGUGCUUGUAAACUUUACAUUUCCUUAAUGAUGCUUUUUUCUUUCUCUGACAUAAGCUGCAGCGGCUCUGUUAGAUCUUCAUCUGUUCCUUUUAAAUUAUUUCCAAGAUAUUAAUUAUAUUGUA